CGAAGCCACAGUCCCAGUCUUUAACCUAAAGGGAUGUUUGAAUUCUGAAAAACCUUAUGGAUAAGCCUCGCAGUUAUGUACUUAGUCACAACCAGAGGGGAGGAACUUUGAAGGCACUGGAUUGAAGAGACACAAAAGUCAGGAAGUGACCCUUUCGUGGGGACUGCAGAGGCCACGGAGGAGAAACAAAGUCCCUUCACAACUGGGAAGACGGACCGUACCAUCCCAGGGGGCCGGAGUAGGGAAGAGGGCUGUGGAAACUGACGUCCUCGCUCUCAAGAAGCCGGCGAGGACACGGGAUUUCCCGGCUGAAAAGCCUCAGUGUCUGCCUGUCCCGGCCCAGCCUCUCCCCUGCUGUGGAGGCCUGGGUACCGCAGCCCGGGGGCGCCCUGCAUCACCACUUUGUGCACGGGCGGGGCCCUGCUCCCCAGCCUGGGGAUGGAUGGCGUGCCCUAGCCAGCCCAUCUGCGGCCACGGCUGGUCCGGGAGGAAGCAGUCCCCCGGGAUGAAUGGGGCUUUGUUCGCUGCCAGCCGCGCUCCCCUCGCGGCCCAGCCCGGCACAACGGAGGCAGUAUGCGACAGGCAUGGAAAUGAGCCGCGGGCUCUCCCCUCGCAGCGCCCAGGAAUGCUGGCCAGCCGGAAAGGAGCCCUCGCCGGGGACCCGCUCCCUCGCCUCUGAAACCCCAUUGAGAAGGGCUCUUUGAAGCAAUUAAAGCGCGUUUCACGGCGGCCCGGGAGGGGGCCCAGGCCGGCCAGCUUCUCUUUUUACCCCCCUCUUCUCUGUCCUACCGUGUUUGUGCACCUUGGUGUGGUGGGUAACCUAGAGACCAGGCCAGAACCAGCUCCCUCUCAUGCAGAGAUUCUGUAAACCUCACAAAAGCGUCUCCAUAAACAGAUUGCUUUAUCACCAGGGGGUGGGGGUGUGUGGUGGGGUGGAACCCAGUCUGGAUCUGAUCCAAGCUGACCUGCAGAGUCUGGGUUCCUGCUUUCAAAGGCUCCUUUGCUGGGCCCUACACCCACCUGCCCUGCUGUCAGGUUUAGGCGGGACAAGAAAUCGCCUCUGGGCAAGGAAGUCCUGAGGCUGCGGAUCAGCAUUUUCCAUUUUCUCAGCGGCGGGGUGGGUUGCGUUCAGGUCUAGAAGUGAUGUCACAGCUAGCCCUGCGAAGUGAUGUAACCUGCACAUGUUGAAGGACUAGGACCGGGCUGCUAUUUUGAGACUCUUGAGUUCCUUCCUUCCUCCCUGGAGACAAGUGGGUGACUGUGGAGAACUCAAGGCUGCUCUGGGUACAGCGGUUUUUGUCUGUUCCAGUGAAAACUUCUAAGGCCGGAGAGCUGACGCCAUAAAACAAGCGUGCUUGUGAAUUCUUUCUAAAUUGAAGCCAUGUAGACACAAACAACACAGCGCAAAGCCCCAUGGAUGAAAUGGCUCCGGGCUAGAAUGCAGGCCACACACUAGCAUGAGAACAAUGCCCCUCACACUGCAGACCUGUACCUGACAUGGGUCCCAGGAAGAUGGCUCACCAGCCUGCUGUGCAAGCCUGAAGACCUAAACUGGAUGCGCAGGGCCCAGCCACAUAGUGUUGACCUGAUACAGAAGACAAAUUCCUGUAUUGUGACCUCUGACCUUGAACUUGAAUGUCACAAAGGAUGGCUAGGCAGCCAUCCGCCACCAACACGAUUGAGAUGUUCUCGAGGAACUCUUUUUAUUACUUUAAACCUUUUUGGGGCAGGCACAGUAGCACACUUCAGCUUCCAGAAUGAGGCAGGAGGAACUCAAGUUUGAAGCCACCUUGCAUCAACAGCUGCAUGAAACUCCAUAGUGUGCACGUCGCACAUCUCUUUAUCCACUCAUCCAUCUCUUGACAAACAGCCAGGCUGGUUCCAUUUCCCAAUCGUCUUCAACAGUGCAGCAGUAAAUGUAGAUGCUGAGACACCUCAGUGGUGCACUGAUAAUGUUCUUCGGUUUAUUUUUGGUACAGGUUCUCCCUAUACAGCACAGACUGGCCUCAAAUUGGUGCUCUUCCUUCCUCAGUCUCCAGAGUACUGAUGUUACAGGGGCAAAGAAGCUCAAGAGAGAAAGCUGACAAGUGACUGGGCUCCCUAGAAACAACUGGAGUGGAAGGUUCACACUUGCUUUGAGGCAUACAUCAUAGGUUGGGACAACUUUGUGUAAGAGAGUACUAUUCAGAUACUGGGGUGACCCAUAGGUCACAACACUGCUUGUUGAGGUCUCAGUCAUUCGGAGGUGCUUGACAUGAGGUAGACAACUGUCAUCGUCACUGCUCAGCAGCCUGGCCUGCCAUGGGACCUCUGACCAAGGAAGACCCUGAUCCUGGAAGAUCAACUCAAGAAUAUAUGUUUUCUUGGGAAACUCCAGAAGAAGUCCUCUUGACAAAGGCUUGAUGCAGUAGAAUUCACGAUAACUAAAUGAAGGGACCAGCUCCCCAUUUCGGCAGCCAUAACAGCCUAACACAUGCUUGCCUGACCUUGCCUUGGUCACUAGGAGGUCAGAUGCCUGUCUCGUGGCAAGGAACC